CCCCCCACGCCUCCCUCUCUCUUCUCCCUUUGGUUCACACAUCCAAGCUCUUGGACAUCCCACCAUCUCCAACGCCCAAGGAGCUUGGGCAUCUUCACCUUCUUGCUGGUUGCUAGUCCUGAUUGCUUCAAGGAUCAAGCAAAGAGAGAUCAAUAGAAGAAGAGGAAAAGAAAGAUCAAGGAGAGAUCAAGAGUUAAUCAAAGGAUCCAGGC
rnacentral:lncRNA from 1 species